rnacentral:rRNA from 1 species
GACAGAGGUGGCUAGCGUUGUUCGGAUUUACUGGGCGUAAAGCGCGCGUGGGUGGCAAAGUAAGUCUUGUGUGAAAUCCUACAGCUUAACUGUAGAAGGGCGCAGGAUACUAUUCUGCUAGAGGACGGGAGAGGAGAGCGGAAUUCCCGGUGUAGCGGUGAAAUGUGUAGAUAUCGGGAAGAAGGCCGGUGGCGAAGGCGGCUCUCUGGUACGAUCCUGACACUAAGGCGCGAAAGCGUGGGGAGCAAACAGG